GACAGAGGCCCCAAGCGUUAGGCGGAAUCACUGGGCUUAAAGCGUGUGUAGGCGGACGCCUAAGUGUCUUGUGAAAUCCCACGGCUCACCCGUGGAACUGCUGGGCAUACUGGGCGUCUUGGGCCAACUAGGGGCAGCCGGAACAAGCGGUGGAGCGGUGAAAUGCGUAGAUAUCAGGAGGAACACCGAUGGCGAAGGCAGGUCUCUGGGCUGACACUGACGCUCAUGCACGAAAGCGUGGGGAGCAAACAGG
rnacentral:rRNA from 1 species